rnacentral:rRNA from 1 species
UACAGAGGGUGCAAGCGUUAAUCGGAAUUACUGGGCGUAAAGCGUGCGUAGACGGUUACAUAAGUCGGGUGUGAAAGCCCCGGGCUCAACCUGGGAAUUGCAUUCGAGACUGCGUAGCUAGGGUGCGGAAGAGGGAAGCGGAAUUUCCGGUGUGAGCGGUGAAAUGCGUAGAUAUCGGAAGGAACACCAGUGGCGAAAGCGGCUUCCUGGUCCAGCACCGACGUCAGGCACGAAAGCGU